GGCGCCUCUCUUUCUCCCCACGCGCAGCCCCGUGCAGGCUUCUCUGACGACGCAGCUGUUUUGCGGCGCACACUCGUGACGCAACGUCCGCAACACUAUUUUGGAAAACGGCGCGACUCGUUCGAUCCCUUGACCGGUUAUUCUGAAGACGGGUACUAGUAGGAUCUCGAGUCUACAUUCCAACAUGUCUGCCUGUGGCGCAUGGAGAUGAUGGAGGCUCAUUGAAGUUUAUUUCCGCUGUGUUUGCUUUGGAUUUUUUUUUUAUUUGAGCUAGUCCAAGUGACUAUGCAAUUUGUAAGACUUUAUUUUAUCUCCUGAGGAUCUGCGUUGUAAUAAAUUUGAUACUAUUGCUAUGAUUACUACAUUUGAAAUGUGUGUGCUAUCAGUGAUCCCGGGAAUAGCACUAUACACAGGUAUCUUGCCUUUAUUUAAAA